UCCCUGAAAACAUUAUGGAUGAAGGCAGAAAGGUUAGAAAGUUGAGUGGGGCCUCCAUCUGAGAUUAGACAGCAGUUGUAUGUGUUCGAGCUCAGUACUUACUCAGCCGUUCUGGCCAAGGGAUAACUAGUGGAGAGGAAUCUUUGUGUUUUUCCUCCUGCAGUAGGGAACCUCAAGCCCCCAGUUUCAUAUCGCAGACCAGCACCCACUGCAAUUGUUCAAUAAAACAAGAGAUCUAGACUAGUGACCCAGGCUCCUUCUCAUAUUCCGGUAAUAGGACGCAAUAAGACUUGCCAAUAUUGUGGCAAGGAUCAUGAGGACUGACUCUACUAUUAUCUCAAUAAUAUUUGUCGUAUAUGUGGGAGUGCCCAGCAUUACAUGAGAGAGUG
rnacentral:lncRNA from 1 species